rnacentral:RNase_P_RNA from 1 species
GGUCGGCCGGGGGCUGUCGCUCGUCGGGUUUCCUCACGGAAGUCGCGGAUGGGAGGAAAGUCCGGACACCAAAGGGCAGCAUGCCGCGCGCAAGCGUUUCGGGGGCUGUGGGCGUGAGCUCCGGUCACGGAAAGUGUCACAGAAAACAAACCGCCCUUCGUAGCUCGCAAGAGCGAAGAAGGGUAAGGGUGAAAAGGUGGGGUAAGAGCCCACCGCUCCAAACGUAAGAAUGGAGGCACGACAAACCCCAUGCGGUGCAAGACAGAACAGGAGAAAGGGCGGCCCGUCCGUAACCCGCUACGGCGGGGGAUACCUCCGGGUAAUAGUCGCGUAGAUAAAUGACAGUCACCAGUGUAGCGCAAGCUGCCCAGGCACAGAAUCCGGCUUACACCGGCCGACCCACU